AACUUUCAGCAACGGAUCACUUGGUUCUGGCAUCGAUGAAGAACGCAGCGAAAUGCGAUAAGUAAUGUGAAUUGCAGAAUUCAGUGAAUCAUAGAAUCUUUGAACGCACAUUGCGCCCGCCAGUAUUCUGGCGGGCAUGCCUGUUCGAGCGUCAUUUCAACCCUCAAGCCCCAGCGGCCUGGUGUUGGGGACCGGCGACCUCGCUGACGCCCUUCUUGGGCCCAGCGUCCGCCGCCCCCGAAAUGAAUUGGCGGUCUCGUCGCGGCCUCCUCUGCGUAGUAGCACAACCUCGCAACAGGAGCGCGACGCGGCCACUGCCGUAAAACGCCCAACUUUUUUAGAGUUGACCUCGGAUCAGGUAGGAAUACCCGCUGAACUUAAGCAUAUCAAUAAGCGGAGGC
rnacentral:misc_RNA from 1 species